GACGAACGCUGGCGGCGUGCUUAGCACAUGCAAGUCGAACGGUAAGGCCCUUCGGGGUGCACGAGUGGCGAACGGGUGAGUAACACGUGGGUGAUCUGCCCUGCACUUCGGGAUAAGCCUGGGAAACUGGGUCUAAUACCGGAUAGGACCACUGCCUGCAUGGGUGGUGGUGGAAAGCUUUUGCGGUGUGGGAUGGGCCCGCGGCCUAUCAGCUUGUUGGUGGGGUGAUGGCCUACCAAGGCGACGACGGGUAGCUGGCCUGAGAGGGUGACCGGCCACACUGGGACUGAGAUACGGCCCAGACUCCUACGGGAGGCAGCAGUGGGGAAUAUUGCACAAUGGGCGCAAGCCUGAUGCAGCGACGCCGCGUGAGGGAUGACGGCCUUCGGGUUGUAAACCUCUUUCAGCACCGACGAAGCGCAAGUGACGGUAGGUGCAGAAGAAGGACCGGCCAACUACGUGCCAGCCGCCGCCGUAA
rnacentral:rRNA from 1 species